rnacentral:rRNA from 1 species
UCCAGACUCCUACGGGAGGCAGCAGUGGGGGAUAUUGCACAAUGGGGGAAACCCUGAUGCAGCGACGCCGCGUGAGUGAAGAAGUAUUUCGGUAUGUAAAGCUCUCUCAGCAGGGAAGAAAAAAGACGGUACCUGACUAAGAAGCCCCGGCUAACUACGUGCCAGCAGCCGCGGUAAUACGUAGGGGGCAAGCGUUAUCCGGAUUUACUGGGUGUAAAGGGAGCGUAGACGGCAAUACAAGUCGGAAGUGAAAUACCCGGGCUCAACCUGGGAACUGCUUUGGAAACUGUAUGGCUGGAGUGCUGGAGAGGUAAGCGGAAUUCCUAGUGUAGCGGUGAAAUGCGUAGAUAUUAGGAGGAACACCAGUGGCGAAGGCGGCUUACUGGACAGUAACUGACGUUGAGGCUCGAAAGCGUGGGGAGCAAACAGGAUUAGAUACCCUGGUACUU